rnacentral:rRNA from 1 species
AUUGAACGCUGGCGGCAUGCUUUACACAUGCAAGUCGAACGGUAACAGGCCUUCGGGUGCUGACGAGUGGCGAACGGGUGAGUAAUGCAGCGGAACGUGCCCAGAGGUGGGGGAUAACGCAGCGAAAGCUGUGCUAAUACCGCAUGUGAUCUGAGGAUGAAAGCGGGGGACCAGGCAGCAAUGUUUGGCCUCGCGCCUUUGGAGCUGCCGAUGUCAGAUUAGGUAGUUGGUGGGGUAAAGGCCUACCAAGCCGACGAUCUGUAGCUGGUCUGAGAGGACGACCAGCCACACUGCGACUGAGCCGCGGCCCAGACUCCUACGGUAGGCAGCAGUGCGGAAUGUUGGACUAUGCGCGCAAGCCUGAUCCAGCACUGCCGCGUGCGGGAAGAAGGCCUUCGGGUUGUAGUCCGCUUUUGUUCGGAUCGAAAAGGCUCUGGCUAAUACCUGGGGCUGAUGACGGUACCGUAAGAAUAAGCACCGGCUAACUACGUG